GUGCCAGCCGCCGCGGUAAUACGUAGGGGGCGAGCGUUGUCCGGAUUCAUUGGGCGUAAAGCGCGCGCAGGCGGCUGUGCGAGCCCGGCGUGAAAGCCCCCGGCUCAACCGGGGGAGGUCGUCGGGGACCGCACGGCUAGAGGCCGGUAGGGGCGAGCGGAAUUCCCGGUGUAGUGGUGGAAUGCGUAGAGAUCGGGAGGAACACCAGUGGCGAAGGCGGCUCGCUGGGCCGGUCCUGACGCUCAGGCGCGAAAGCGUGGGGAGCGAUCCGGAUUAGAUACCCGCGUAGUCC
rnacentral:rRNA from 1 species